GAGGACAUCCCUGAAACCAAGAGAAAUAAAAGGGCACAGCCACCUUCUCUCUAUCCUGCAAGAUACAUCCCAUUCCACAAAAACAACCCUCACCUAAUAUUCCUACUGAACAGAAGAAUUUGAAUUGAGCUUUAAAAGAAGUUUAGAUGACUGCUGGAGGAGAAGGAAGACAUUCCCCAAUAGUAGUACAGAGUAAGAAGUACCAAGACAUGAAUACACAGGUAUAAUCCAAAGCUUUUAAGUCUGCGUUACUUGUAAAAUGUUUUAUCUUCACAAUAAACCUGAGAAAUAGGUAUUACUGUCUCUACUGAUGAAGAAACUGAAACUUGAUGAAGCUAAAUAAUUUCUCCAUGGCCAUAUAGCACCAGGAACAAACAGGGUUAUUAAUAAACCUGUUUUAAGAUCUGGUUUAAGAGGGAAAGAUAUCCAUAAUGGAAUGAAGAAUCCAGAAGUGGGACCAACUGUUAUCAAUUAGUGAUUGAUA